CCGCCGCCCUUGUCUAGUCGACCCGUUCCCAAGAUGGCGGCGCCCAGGGGAAGGAGGAACGGUAGCGCAGGAGCGAGCAUGUGGGGCGCUCUGCUGCUGGCGGCCGUGGCGCUGAGGUCGGUCGAGGCGGUGUCCGAGCCCACAACGGUGGCGUUUGACGUGCGGCCCGGCGGCGUCGUACACUCCUUCUCCCACAGCGCGGGCCCUGGGGACAGAUUUACCUGCACGUUCACCUACGCUUCUCAAGGAGGGACCAAUGAGGUGCCAUCGAGUCGGUUCCGACUCAUAGCGACCCUGUGCACAACAGAACGAAACACUGCCCGGCCCUGCGCCAUCCUCACAAUCGUUGUUAUGCUUGAGCUCAUUGUUGCAGCCACUGUGUCAGUCCACCUCGUUGAGGGUCUUCCUCUUCUACUGACCCUGUACUUUGCCAAGCAUGAUGUCCUUCUCCAGGGACUCAUCCCACCUGAUAAUAUGUCCAAAGUGUGUAAGACGUGGUCUCGCCAUCCUUGCCUCUAAGGAGCAUUCUGGCCUCACUUCGUCCAAGACAGAUUUGUUCGGUCUUCUGGCAGUCCAUGGUGUAUUCAAUAUUCUUCACCAACACCACAACUCAAAGGCGUCAACUCUUCUUCUGUCUUCCUUAUUCAUUGUCCAGCUUUCACAUGCAUAUGAUGCGAUUGAAAAUACCAUGGCUUGGGUCAGGCGCACCUUAGUCUUCAGGAUGACUGACAUCUUUGCUCUUCAACACUUUAAAGAGGUCCUUUGCAGCAGAUUUGCCCAAUGCAGUGCGUCUUUUGAUUUCUUGACUGCUGCUUCCACGGCUGUUGAUUGUGGAUCCAAGUAAAAUGAAAUCCUUGACAACUUCAAUUUUUUUCUCCGUUCAUCAUGAUGUUGCUCAUUGGUCCAACUGUGAGGAUUUUUGUUUUCUUUAUGUUGAGGUGUAAUGCAUACUGAAGGCUGUGGUCUUUGAUCUUCAGUAGUAAGCGCUUCAAGUCCUCUUCACUUUCAGCAAGGAAGUUUGUGUCAUCUGCGUAACGCAGGUUGUUAAUGAGUCUUCCUCCAAUCCUGAUGCCCCGUUCUUCUUCAUAUAGUCCAGCUUCUCGGAUUAUCUGCUCAGCAUACAGACUGAAUAGCAGUGGCAGAUGAGCCUGGGGACCAGCGAAGAUCAUCAGCAUUUCACCUGCACCAUCUGGAG